UAUGCCUGUGCACCUCGAGGAGCGACUUAGUUUAGCCUUUAUAGUUUCCCACAUGAUCGUUUUAGGCUGUUAGGUACCCCGCAUCUCUUCUGCUCUCUUAGGGCAUGAAAGUGCGGUUCCGUUCGUUGGCCGGCGGGCGGGCGGCGGUAGUGGUGGCAGGAGGGGUGCCAUGAGGCCAAGGUUCAAGGCAUAGGCCGGGACGUACCGGAUUUAGUGGUAGGGAGGUGCGGAGACGAAUCACUCGAGAACGAACGGCAUGUAUGUACGGCUACUCGAGGAGCGGCCGCCAGCGCCAGCGCCAGCGCAGACGCCGGCACCAUCGCGACCGACAGCGAUUGGCGCACGAGAUAUUCGAGCGCGACCACGGGGAGUUCAGGAUAGGGAAGGAGGAGCGAGUCGAGUGGUGCAAGCCCAUGCAGUGCCACAUGAAAAGUUAUGAGAUACGCUCCAUGGCGCGCCCCCACCACUGCGCCCUGUACGACUGUGACGGCUUCUAGGCCAAGCGACAGUAGCCGAACGAUCUCCGAGAACCCCAGCGGCGACCUUACAGACGCCCUCGAUACGACGGACCGGGACGAUAAGGAUAUGACAGAGUCAGAAAGGACCACACCGUCGAAUAGAAGAGACACAACGAAAACCCUUUCUGGAUGAGAGACUCUGUUUAGUAACCAACGAACGAACAUUGAAGACCACACUAAGAACGACAACGCUCACCCCGUUUACUACCAGUAGAAGAUAGACCUCAGUUCAAUUAAACCGGUAACGACUACCAACAAAGUAGCCGUAAGGUUCGACCACGUAGGUAAAACUUCCUCAGACAAAAGCAACUACCACGUUUUGCAGAAUUUCCCUUUGCCGGACUGUAGAAGCACCAAUUAAGUAAGCCUAGACCCAAAGUCCGAGAACAACAGAAGGAAGAAGAGGGUAAUGAAAGAUUAAACUCCCCCUAAUUCGAACGACUCGAAAGACCGGUAAAUUUACCACCACGACUCACGAAGAAUUUACAACCCCUCUCGGGUUAACUAACACCUCCACGAGGUAAGGAUGGUAACGAAAAAUAUAAGCAUUUGUACCGAAAGUUGUAGAGCAACGAAUUAAACCAUUUCUACAGCAGACGGCACCAACGAAGUGAAUGUCGUUGAAGGCGGCACGGUUAUAGUUAGAUGUAGGAAAGAGAAGGAAACGGGAUGUAGGGAGUUCCGCGCCUUAAUUCGCGAAGAAAAUAGAAGCCACCGUAACAUAACAACUACCCGGAUUAAGACAUAUUGGAAGGGGUUAGUAGAUUUCUCAGUUUCUGACUGAUUUUCGAAUACCGCUAACUCACAUAUAAUGGUGAAGUUGGCUUUUAGUUAAUAACCAAACCAGGACUUCGAUUAUAAUCCAAAGAUCUAACCACUGCGGUCUCAGCUAUUCCUGACAAACAACCCUACGUACUUACGAACCAUAAAGAUUAAACAGUCUCUUAUCAUGAUCA
rnacentral:rRNA from 1 species